ACUCAGGGUUCAGGGUUGGGGCGACGAGAGGCCGCGCCUGUCACUGGGCUCCAGACGGGCUCCGGCUCCACAAAGCGCAGGGCGGAGGCGGCCGGGGUGCUCGGCGUGUGACCGCGGCGGGGCCGCGCGGGCGCAGGAUGCGGGAGGCGCGGGGCUGGGGCCACCGCUGCCACCGGGGGAGGAGGCUGGAGCGCGGGGCUCUGAGCCCGGCGCGGCCGCGGGCGGCUGCAAAAGACGGCCUGGAUCGCCGCGCUGCCCGCCGGCCCCGCACUCCGGCCCCCACCCGGGGCUCUGCCGGGCUCACGCGGGAGCCUCACGAGACCCGGCGCUGGUAGGUCGGUUCCCUCCUUCCGAACAGGAGUCAAUCCCGGCAGCAAAGCACAGAAACUUCCUACCGCGGCGAGAUUCAAAGGAGAUGUCUGCCAGGGCGCGGAAAAGAAGCAAGCUCUCCUCUAGUCCGGAGAAGAGUGACCUCUGUUACUCGACAAAAGUAUCGUCCUUCUGAAAUACACGCAUCCGGGGUUACGUGUAAGACAUCUCCGCCAGUGAAAUGGAGGAAUGAGGCUGCCCUGCCCUCAAGGAGCUCCAAGACAGACAGACGAGGAAGCUGAGGCACAGGUGGUUCAGUAAGCAGACCAAGGUCACCCAACUCCUCAGAAGCAAAGACAGAAUGCCAGCCCAGGCUCCAGAAUCCAUGCCCUGCAUGGCCACACUCUGUAAAAUGGACAGGAGUCUCCAGCUUAACGAUUUUCGGUCCUGGUACCAUUAUCUGUUGGCCCCAACGUCAAAUCACCAAGUCCUCAGUAUCCUUCCGAAGAAAAGGCUUUCAGUACCCUCCUUCCUUGCCCAUUCCAGUGCUGGUCCCAGGCCACGCCCUCACCCCUCCUUCCUGCCAGCUAGCCUCGGAAGCACCUCCCCCACCCAGCCAUUUACAAGUCUCUGCAAGGAAUUUUUCAAAGUCAGAGGUUUCAUCAUGAGUCCCAUACCAUCCUGCUCUCAGCCCCUACCUACGAAUGGCUCUCUGACCUAUUCAGGCUGGUGUUUACAUCCCUCAGCCCUGAAUUCCAGGCCCUCCAGGAAGGACCCUGUCCUGUCUGCCUUGCCAACCAGAUGCCCAGGAAUGCCACUGGCCCAUGCUGCAACUGUGUGGACACCAGACUCGGGUAUCUCUUCUACUACUCUCUACAGCCUACCCAAAAUGCCUCUAGUUUACAUCAAACCCAAGUUCAAAAUGAGAUACGUUCCUCCCACUCCAAAAUGAGAUUUCCCUGACCAUUCUCUCCCAUUCAUUUGGCGUUUAUGAGUGUAAGUAUAAGGUCUCAUGUUCUGAUAUGAGUCUGAUAAGAGUCCAUAUUCUCUGAAAAGACAGGACUUGUGUCUUACACCACUUUGCCUCCCUACAGAAUGAGGCAGUUGGAGCUCCCAAGGGCCUGGGCUGGGGCGGUCACAGUGGAAAUAGCCUGUGAAAAGUCAAAGGGUCCAUUUUGAACUCUGAUAACAGAGUUGACUUUCUUGGCUCCAUGACAGCAAAUGCUCCUGAUUUUCCUCGUAUCACCUGGCUUAAUUCUCUCUCUAUUCAACUUCUAAAUGUUGGAGUCUUCCCAACGCUUUGUUCUAGGCUUUCUGUUCUCCAAACUCCCUCCCAAUCUAUCUCCCACUGCACCCUUGGCUCUAAGUAUCAAUCAAGAUUCUCAUUUCUAAGGCUAAAUCUAUGGCCCAAGCACAUGGGAACACUCGCUUGAAUGUCUCAUAGACAUUUCAAACUAUCUGCUUCCAGAAAUAUGAAUUGGACAUCUGGUGGUGAACACAGACCACUUCAGGCAAUGUAUUUCACUGACUAUAUGCUAUCAAGCGCAAAGCACCAUUGCCUCCACUUUGUAAAAAAAGGAAGUAAAAGCUUCAUGUGGCCUGCACUGUUACUUCCCUAUGGAAAGCCACAAGGCCUCAAAACUGGUAAAACAUCUGCUUCUCAGAGACCAGCCUUUACCUUGUGGUUUACCAGAAAUGGAGUAGCCUUUAAAACCGAAAAAAGUCAACCCACUCAGAGCAGUCAAUGAUUAGAAUAGGUCAAUAUGUGGAACAGGUUUCUGAGGCUGUAGUCUCCUUUCUCUGUUAAUUUGUCUCUCUUCAAAUGAAGACCUUGACGUUUUUAAGACUUUAAUUUAAUAAUUAACACUAUCAACUUAAAAAUGGACUGGUAUAGGCAGACCUCAGAGAUGUUGUGGAUUUGGUUCCAGGCUACUGCAAUAAAGCGAGUAUUGUAAUAAGCAAGUAGUAAUCUUUUUGCUGUUGGAGGGUCUUGCCUUCGAUUUGUAAAAAACGCAACAAAGCGAAGCACAAGAAAAUGAGGUGUGCCUGUCCUGUAAGCUUUUAAAUGACAGUUCAUAGACACGGUCUGUUUCUUCAGCCUCCUAGUAGUGGAGCUGAAAUCCAGCAUUCCCAGUGCUGAAAUUCAAGGCCUCAUGAAUUACUUCUAUGUCCCUUAGCUCCACUGUCCUUGACGGUGUCCAGAUACUAGGAGGCUAGGAUGCCCAGGGUGAAGGAGAAAACAGACUGUGUUCCCUUAAAAGGCGGUAGGUACCUUGGGCUGGGUCACUGCUCCUAGUGCUAAGUAAGCAGUCCUGCUUUUUCACGCUCCACAGACCUGUAGCCGGCUGCGCUCAGGUGCACGAGCUGAGGGUCUUGGGGGUGUUGGCACCUGUUUCUCUGGCGCUGUUUUCAGUCAACUUCACCAUGUGUUCCUUGGGGGCACAAAACAAGUCCUUUUCUAUUUCUGAAUCCCCACAGCCAGAUGAGAUCCAAAUAUAAAUAUAAAUUUA